UACGGAAGGCAGCAGUGGGGAAUAUUGCACAAUGGGCGCAAGCCUGAUGCAGCCAUGCCGCGUGUAUGAAAAAGGCCUUCGGGUUGUAAAGUACUUUCAGUCGUGAGGAAGGUGUUAAGGUUAAUAACCUUAGCAAUUGACGUUAGCGACAGAAGAAGCACCGGCUAACUCCGUGCCAGCAGCCGCGGUAAUACGGAGGGUGCGAGCGUUAAUCGGAAUUACUGGGCGUAAAGGGCACGCAGGCGGUUAAUUAAGUUUGGAUGUGAAAUCCCCGGGCUUAACCUGGGAAUGGCAUUCAAGACUGGUUAGCUAGAGUCUUGUAGAGGGGGUAGAAUUCCAUGUGUAGCGGUGAAAUGCGUAGAGAUGUGGAGGAAUACCGGUGGCGAAGGCGGCCCCUGGACAAAGACUGACGCUCAUGUGCGAAAGCGUGGGGAGCAAACAGGGAUUAGAUACC
rnacentral:rRNA from 1 species